rnacentral:rRNA from 1 species
UGCGUAGGUGGUAUGGCAAGUCAGAAGUGAAAACCCAGGGCUUAACUCUGGGACUGCUUUUGAAACUGUCAGACUGGAGUGCAGGAGAGGUAAGCGGAAUUCCCGGUGUAGCGGUGAAAUGCGUAGAGAUCGGGAGGAACACCAGUGGCGAAGGCGGCCUACUGGGCUUUAACUGACGCUGAGGCACGAAAGUGUGGGUAGCAAAACA